rnacentral:rRNA from 1 species
AUUGAACGCUGGCGGCAGGCCUAACACAUGCAAGUCGAACGGUAGCACAGAGAGCUUGCUCGCGGGUGACGAGUGGCGGACGGGUGAGUAACGUCUGGGAAACUGCCCGACGGAGGGGGAUAACUACUGGAAACGGUAGCUAAUACCGCAUAAGGUCGCAAGACCAAAGUGGGGGACCUUCGGGCCUCACACCAUCGGAUGUGCCCAGAUGGGAUUAGCUAGUAGGUGGGGUAAUGGCUCACCUAGGCGACGAUCCCUAGCUGGUCUGAGAGGAUGACCAGCCACACUGGAACUGAGACACGGUCCAGACUCCUACGGGAGGCAGCAGUGGGGAAUAUUGCACAAUGGGCGCAAGCCUGAUGCAGCCAUGCCGCGUGUAUGAAGAAGGCCUUCGGGUUGUAAAGUACUUUCAGCGGGGAGGAAGGCGGUGGAGUUAAUAGCUUCACCGAUUGACGUUACCCGCAGAAGAAGCACCGGCUAACUCCGUGCCAGCCGCCGCGGUAA